GACGAACGCUGGCGGCGUGCCUAACACAUGCAAGUCGAACGAGAUCCAUGGGAGCUUGCUCCCGGAAGAUCUAGUGGCGAACGGGUGAGUAACACGUGAGAAACCUGCCCUGGAGUGGGGAAUAACUCGGGGAAACUCGAGCUAAUACCGCAUACCCUCGGAUGGUCGCAUGGCCGACCGAGGAAAGAUUUAUCGCUCUAGGAGGGUCUCGCGGCCUAUCAGCUAGUUGGUGGGGUAACGGCCUACCAAGGCAACGACGGUAGCUGGUUUGAGAGAACGAUCAGCCACACUGGGACUGAGACACGGCCCAGACCUCCUACGGGAGGCAGCAGUGGGAAUCUGCGCAAUGGG
rnacentral:rRNA from 1 species